rnacentral:rRNA from 1 species
GGAUGCUGACGAGUGGCGAACGGGUGAGUAACAUAUCGGAACGUGCCCAGUCGUGGGGGAUAACGCAGCGAAAGCUGUGCUAAUACCGCAUACGAUCUAAGGAUGAAAGCGGGGGAUCUUCGGGCCUCGCGCGAUUGGAGCGGCCGAUGUUAGAUUAGGUAGUUGGUGGGGUAAAGGCUCACCAAGCCGACGAUCAGUAGCUGGUCUGAGAGGACGAUCAGCCACACUGGAACUGAGACACGGUCCAGACUCC